rnacentral:rRNA from 1 species
AUUGAACGCUGGCGGCAGGCUUAACACAUGCAAGUCGAGCGGAGAUGAGGUGCUUGCACCUUAUCUUAGCGGCGGACGGGUGAGUAAUGCUUAGGAAUCUGCCUAUUAGUGGGGGACAACAUUCCGAAAGGAAUGCUAAUACCGCAUACGUCCUACGGGAGAAAGCAGGGGACCUUCGGGCCUUGCGCUAAUAGAUGAGCCUAAGUCGGAUUAGCUAGGUGGUGGGGUAAAGGCCUACCAAGGCGACGAUCUGUAGCGGGUCUGAGAGGAUGGUCCGCCACACUGGGACUGAGACACGGCCCAGACUCCUACGGGAGGCAGCAGUGGGGAAUAUUGGACAAUGGGCGGAAGCCUGAUCCAGCCAUGCCGCGUGUGUGAAGAAGGCCUUUUGGUUGUAAAGCACUUUAAGCGAGGAGGAGGCUACUUAGAUUAAUACUCUAGGAUAGUGGACGUUACUCGCAGAAUAAGCACCGGCUAACUCUGUGCCAGCCGCCGCAGUAACAC